rnacentral:rRNA from 1 species
AACGAACGCUGGCGGCAUGCCUAACACAUGCAAGUCGAACGAGACCUUCGGGUCUAGUGGCGCCCGGGUGCGUAACGCGUGGGAACCUGCCCUUAGGUUCGGAAUAACUCCCCGAAAGGGGUGCUAAUACCGGAUAAUGUCUUCGGACCAAAGAUUUAUCGCCUUUGGAUGGGCCCGCGUUGGAUUAGCUAGUUGGUAGGGUAAAAGCCUACCAAGGCGACGAUCAAUAGCUGGUCUGAGAGGAUGAUCAGCGACACUGGGACUGAGACACGGCCCAGACUCCUACGGGAGGCAGCAGUGGGGAAUAUUGCACAAUGGCCGAAAGCCUGAUCCAGCAAUGCCGCGUGAGUGAUGAAGGCCUUAGGGUUGUAAAGCUCUUUUACCCGGGAUGAUAAUGACAGUACCGGGAGAAUAAGCCCCGGCUAACUCCGUG